AGUCUUGUAUUCAAAGAUGAUUUUAAAUUGCAAAUUUAAAGGUGAAUUUAACUCCAAGGCUU
rnacentral:tRNA from 1 species